rnacentral:tRNA from 1 species
CGGGGCGUGGCGCAGGUUGGUAGCGCGCCUGGUUUGGGACCAGGAGGCCGGAGGUUCAAGUCCUCUCGCCCCGACCA